rnacentral:rRNA from 1 species
UACGUAGGGGGCGAGCGUUGCCCGGAUUUACUGGGCGUAAAGCGCGCGUAGGCGGUCUCAUAAGUCUGGUGUGAAAUCUCACGACUCAACCGGGAGGCUGCACUGGAUACUGUGAGACUGGAGGGUAGGAGAGGAGAUCGGAAUUCCUGGUGUAGCGGUGGAAUGCGUUGAUAUCAGGAGGAACACCAAUGGCGAAGGCAGAUCUCGGGCCUAUCUCUGACGCUGAGGUGCGAAAGCCAGGGGAGCGAAAGGG